rnacentral:misc_RNA from 1 species
AUUUGUAUACCCUUUGGUUUGAUAUAGGGCCCUACUACGGCCCAUGAUCAUACAAAAUCUAAAAGUAAAACUGAAUUUACAUUAGAUUUGGGAAUGCAAGACACAUAUCAAGAACCUUACAAGAUAUCCACGGCAAGCUAAUGAAGUUCAGAGCACCAAGAAAAGGGGGAAAAGGGAAGAAAAAAGUAUAUAUCAGAAGAAGAAAAGUUGAUAAAAUGUUGUCAUUCAGUUUCAAUCUCAUCUUCAGAAUCUCUGAGAUUUUCCUUCAAGGACUGUUUCUGGAGUUGCCACCUUUCUCUAUCCCAGGCCUCAUCCAUUUCAGGCAAUGCAUAUUCGUCGGGUCUUAACGACAGUUGGAAAUCUGGCAGGUCAGGCAAUGCUUGCAAAGCCUUCUCUUCUUCCAACAGGUAGCCAUACAUCUGAGAUUUCUUUGAAGCAACUUCAGGAAUUUUCUGAUGCAAGUGCUUCAUAGCACCCCACAAUGGAGGAGAUCUGGU